rnacentral:antisense_RNA from 1 species
UGGGCAAUGGCGGGCGCCCCUCCCCCAGCCUCGCUGCCGCCUUGCAGUUUGAUCUCAGACGGCUGCGCUAGCAAUCAGCGAGACUCCGUGGGCGUAGGACCCUCCGAGCCAGAUGUGCCUUGCUUCUCCUUCAUUUUCUGCUAUGACUGUAAGUUCCCUGAGGCCUUCCCAGCCAUGUGGAACUGCAUUCUAAUAUAUGCAUUCUUCAUGACAACUCUGUGAAACAUAUUAAUAUCCUCAUUGUUAAAGAUGAAGAAACUAAAUCUCAGGAAGAAAAACUAAGUGAAGACAAAAGAAGGAUUUGAACUGAGAUUAUUCUGGGAGAUUCUGGGAGUCUUUUCUCCAACACUCCAAUGACAUCUGACUAUGUGAGCUGAUAAGAUCUAUAGAUCUGUGAGUUGGCAGAGCUAUGAAAAGUUUCUCCCCUCUUAGGACAUAAGCAGGAAAUCUUGAUACAGGAAUCAAUAAGGGGAAAGAGAAAAUAUUUAUUAGAACAAAUUUAUUAUAU